GGGGGAAACCCUGAUGCAGCGACGCCGCGUGAGCGAAGAAGUAUUUCGGUAUGUAAAGCUCUAUCAGCAGGGGAGAAAAUGACGGUACCUGACUAAGAAGCACCGGCUAAAUACGUGCCAGCAGCCGCGGUAAUACGUAUGGUGCAAGCGUUAUCCGGAUUUACUGGGUGUAAAGGGAGCGUAGACGGAUGUGCAAGUCUGGAGUGAAAACCCGGGGCUCAACCCCGGGACUGCAUUGGAAACUGUCAAUCUAGAGUACCGGAGAGGUAAGCGGAAUUCCUAGUGUAGCGGUGAAAUGCGUAGAUAUUAGGAGGAACACC
rnacentral:rRNA from 1 species